rnacentral:rRNA from 1 species
ACGGGAGGCAGCAGCUAAGAAUAUUCCGCAAUGGACGAAAGUCUGACGGAGCGACGCCGCGUGGAUGAUGAAGGUCGGAAGAUUGUAAAAUCCUUUUAUAACUGAGGAAUAAAGCGGGUAGGGAAUGACCUGCAGGUGACUGUAGUGCAUGAAUAAGCAACGGCUAAUUACGUGCCAGCAGCCGCGGUAACACGUAAGUUGCGAGCGUUGUUCGGAAUUAUUGGGCGUAAAGGGCAUGUAGGCGGUUAUGCAAGUCUGGUGUGAAAGGCAGGAGCUCAACUCCUGGACUGCGCCGGAAACUGUAAAACUAGAGUGACUGAGGAGCAAUCAGAAUUCCAGGUGUAGGGGUGAAAUCUGUGGAUAUCUGGAAGAAUACCAAUGGCGAAGGCAGGUUGCUAGCAGAUGACUGACGCUGAGGUGCGAAGGUGCGGGGAGCAAACAGGAUUAGAUACCCUGGUA